AGUGAACGCUGGCGGCGUGCCUAAUACAUGCAAGUCGAACGGAGUGGCGCACGGGUGAGUAAUGUCUAGGAAUCUGCCUGGUAGUGGGGGAUAACGUCCGGAAACGGGCGCUAAUACCGCAUACUAUCAGAUGAGCCUAGGUCGGAUUAGCUGGUUGGUGGGGUAACGGCCUACCAAGGCGACGAUCCGUAACUGGUCUGAGAGGAUGAUCAGUCACACUGGAACUGAGACACGGUCCAGACUCCUACGGGAGGCAGCAGUGGGGAAUAUUGGACAAUGGGCGAAAGCCUGAUCCAGCCAUGCCGCGUGUGUGAAGAAGGUCUUCGGAUUGUAAAGCACUGUAAGUUGGGAGGCGUUACCAGCAGAAUAAGCACCGGCUAACUUCGUGCCAGCAGCCGCGGUAAUUC
rnacentral:rRNA from 1 species